AGCUUCUAUCUCUAGAUCUGCACUAAUCCUUGUCAGAAAAUUGAGAAGUCAUGGCAUAGUCAAAUCUGAACAAGCCGUGUGGAACUUCGCCAUGAGUCUGCGCAUAAAUUUGGGAAUGGACGGAUGGCACUCCGAAGAAGUCAGAGAAUAUUUUCAACGCGCAACAGGACAAGAGAAAAGAAGAGAAGCAAAGAGUGGUGGGUUAUCGCUCCUACAUUGCUUACAUGAACAUCUUGAUUUUUUUAGAAAGAAGGCAUAGAUCCGACAUUAAAUUAAUGACACCCUGAAAAAUAGAAAAGGCAAAAGAAACACGAUACAAGGUGCAUGGUGCUGUAGGAUCAGCUUACAAGACAUGAAACAAACCAUGCAAUAUAAAAAUAUAACAGAGUGGAUUUUCUACUCCCAGAUGCACCUACACCAUUCAUGAAUAGUAAAUUUAAAAGAAAAUGAAAAACAAAAUCGAAAAAAUAUGAAAUUUUGAGACAUGAAACUAGAUCAAAAGUUUUAGCAUCUUGCAAAUUUUUCAUCACGAAAUAACAUUCGUGGUGAAAAAUGAGGCGUAAGUAGAUUCACUCAUUUUGGUUCGUAAGUAGUCCAUAUUGAAAUCUAUAUAAAGACUUCUAUUUAGGAACAGAGGGAGUACAAAAGAAACGACUCUUGAUUGUCGAAGUCCUCAGCCACGAAGCAAAACACCAAUGAGGCGUAAGUAGAUGAUGAACACAUAGCAAGCACUGCGCAGGAGUGAGAUCACGUCAAGCAAUAUUGAUUUGUUUGAUUUGAUGAAUAUUCUACCAUUUGAAAUAAAUCUGAAUGUUAUUGUUUAUUAUUCUUAUGGAGUGUUUGGCAGUGUGAGCAUGUAGUAUAAGAGUACCUUAUCCGUUCGGCGGGGUGCUCCAACUUUUGAUGUUGGCGAAGCUUUUGCAAUGAUGGCUGCAUCCUCCAUCAUUUGUUAGUCUCCGUUGGAGGUUUAAUUAAACUGAAGUAAAUAUGCUAGAUUCUUUUGUCAAAUAAAAACAUGACUGUCUAUUUUGCUUGUCAGGACCAAGAUCUCUAGCUAUCAAUGAAAUUUUCAGAGUAGUUUUUGUUGCCUUUGUGUAACCCUGAUAGCAGCUUCUUGAAAGGUUCAGAUGUGUGGCAAAGGAUUUCAAUUUUCCUAUUUACACAAAGGAAACUCAAGGAAGGUUCAGAUUUCUCAUGCUUGGUUCUGUGCUCUCAGGGUUACAUAGACAAAAAUGCCUCCUAUUUACACAAUGGCAACUCGAGGAAGGUCCAGAUUUCUCAUGACUGCUUCUUCGGCAUUUCAUGCCUGUACCAUCUUAUUAGAAAAUGUAGUUUGUUUUAUAGCUGAUGAUGCUUGAUGCUUUUAUCGAUUACUAAAUGCUCAGUUCUAGCUCAUAAACUACAUGGCAAAAGCUAAUUCCGAUGGGUCUGAUGCAAAUAAUUUUCAUCUUUGGACAUGCCUUUAGUUGAUUAUUUAAUCCUUUUAUAAGAAUCUAUUUAGCUUUGUAUUGUUGCAGUUUCAUUAUAUAUCCACUUACCAAUGCAUCUAAAGAUUCAACAAUGUAGAAUCCAGCACCAGUCUUGGGACUACAAAUUGUUUCUUCAUUCCUCCGUGUUGCACUGUAGGUGAUAAGGGGUCGAGGUCGUAUGUUCGUCGUGUCAUCAA